CGCAGCCCCGCGGCGCGCAGAGUGGCGCAGGCGGCGGCAUUGGGCCGGGUUUAAGGUAGCGCCGCGCCGCCCGCGCUCCCCGCGGUCCUAGCGCCCGCCGCGCUGCGGCAGGCCCUGCGCCUCGCGCCCGAGCGCGGGGACCCGGGGGCGCCCGGAGCCCCCGGUCUCACAAAGGAAGCGCGAGGCCGCGGCCCCCUGGGCCUCUGCGGCCGUGUCACUCACGCGGAGUCGCAGCCGCGAAGUGAACCCCUCGUUCGAUGCGGCGGCGGAGGUGCAGACUGAAUCGGGAGAACUAGUUUUCCCACUUGGGGCUUGGGGGCUGCUUUGAGUUACGAAAUAAAACUUAGCUAAGAGUUGGAGUGAAGGGGGCUGAUUUAAUAAGCUUGAACGGACCCCACAGUUCCGCUCUCAUCUCUCCUGCAGACAGUAGCAAGCGACGCGGCAGGUGGGACUGGGGAGGCGGGGGCGGGGGGCUAUGCGCCCAGCCCCCUUCCACGCGCGCACACCGGCCGCAGUGACCGCUCCUGGCCGGGUUCGGGGCUCUCCCGGCGUUCUCUAGAGCCGGCGCUGCGUUUAGGUCCCGCCCCGCGGCGCGGCCGGCUUGGGUGGGGGGGCGCCGGAGCACCGCCUCGCUCCCCGAGCUCGCCUGCGUCUGCAGAGAGUCCGGGUGCAGGAGCGCGCGCCGGGGACUUCCCCUACCCUGGAACCCUGGACCGCGCUCCGAGGGGCGAGCUGGGCCCGCCCUCAUGGGAUGAGAAAGCCAAGGACCCCGGGUCCCUCGCGGCCCCGAAGCCGCCGCCGAGCUGAGGGAGCCCGAACAAGAUGCAAAGGGAUGUUCCCCACAAUUCGAAACUCCUGGAUCUACAGAAGAUCAAGUGAAAAAAGCAAAACAAGACAACAUAGCAAGGUAGAAAGAGGACAGUCUUCAGAACCCUGCUACCUGGCAGGCUGGACAAGUUCAUGAAUAAUCCUGAGACCAGUUUCCUCAUCAGAUGGUAUUUGCCACAUACUUGUUUUGAGAAUAAAAACAGAGAGACCAUGGAAAAUGCCUGGUGCCUAAAAGAGACUCAGUAAAAGUUAUUAAUGAGCAUAAAUUAAUGUUAUGUACACAGUAAAGCUAUUUUCAACAAAGGAACAAUAAAGAGGAAAUGAUAUGUAUGAAGACUAUUCAUAACAAAGGGAAAAGCAACAAAACAAGAAACCUUUUAAGACAGUAUGACCCCCACCACACAGACGCACGUUUGCCUGGGGCGGGAGGGCAGGAGGGAACCCUGGUGGACCUGCGGGAUGCCUGGCCCUGCUGGUCACAACCAUGAACUCUCCGUGUAUUUGUGCUCUAGUUCACAGACUUUCAAUGGUGGGCUGAAUGUUACUUACAUAAUGAAAAACACUGUUUUUGAAUUUUGAAAGCUAAACGAUGCCCUUUUCCAUAAAAAUCACCUCCUUCCUAGCAGAGACAUUCAAAAUAUUGUUUUCUAUACUCCAGAGCUGUUUGCAUAAUUGCUCAUAAUAAUUUCAUUCAGUUCAUCAUUUAUUGAGCGCCCGUGUGCCAGGGUCCAGGAGGAAACAAAAUAAAUGAGAUAGGGUCCUGUCCUC
ensembl:lncRNA